rnacentral:rRNA from 1 species
UCGAGCGAGUCUGCCUUGAAGAUCGGAGUGCUUGCACUCUGUGAAACAAGAUACAGGCUAGCGGCGGACGGGUGAGUAACACGUGGGUAACCUGCCCAAGAGAUCGGGAUAACACCUGGAAACAGAUGCUAAUACCGGAUAACAACAGAUGAUGCCUAUCAACUGUUUAAAAGAUGGUUCUGCUAUCACUCUUGGAUGGACCUGCGGUGCAUUAGCUAGUUGGUAGGGUAACGGCCUACCAAGGCGAUGAUGCAUAGCCGAGUUGAGAGACUGAUCGGCCACAUUGGGACUGAGACACGGCCCAAACUCCUACGGGAGGCAGCAGUAGGGAAUCUUCCACAAUGGACGCAAGUCUGAUGGAGCAACGCCGCGUGAGUGAAGAAGGGUUUCGGCUCGUAAAGCUCUGUUGUUGGUGAAGAAGGACAGGGGUAGUAACUGACCUUUGUUUGACGGUAAUCAAUUAGAAAGUCACGGCUAACUACGUGCCAGCAGCCGCGGUAAUACGUAAGUGGCAAGCGUUGUCCGGAUUUAUUGGGCGUAAAGCGAGUGCAGGCGGCUCGAUAAGUCUGAUGUGAAAGCCUUCGGCUCAACCGGAGAAUUGCAUCAGAAACUGUCGAGCUUGAGUACAGAAGAGGAGAGUGGAACUCCAUGUGUAGCGGU